UGCCGUGCUUUUAUUUUGAAGGCUGUAGGUUCUAUCAUAAAUAUCAACAUUUACCUGUCAAAAUAGCAGAAAAUAAGCAAAAAACCUCUGGACUUAUUAUUGCGGUGCGACCUUGUUAUUUUACUGCCGUGCUUUUAUUUUGAAGGCUGUAGGUUCUAUCAUAAAUAUCAACUUUUACCUGUAAAAAUAGCAGAAGAUAAGCAAAAACCUCUGGACUUAUUACUGCCGUGCUUUUAUUUUGAAGGCUGUAGGUUCUAUCAUAACUAUCAACAUUUACCUGUCAAAAUAGCAGAAAAUAAGCAAAAACCUCUGGACUUAUUACUGCGGUGCGACCGUGUUAUUUUACUGCCGUGCUUUUAUUUUGAAGGCUGUAGGUUCUAUCAUAAAUAUCAACAUUUACCUGUCAAAAUAGCAGAAAAUAAGCAAAAAACCUCUGGACUUAUUAUUGCGGUGCGACCUUGUUAUUUUACUGCCGUGCUUUUAUUUUGAAGGCUGUAGGUUCUAUCAUAAAUAUCAACUUUUACCUGUAAAAAUAGCAGAAGAUAAGCAAAAACCUCUGGACUUAUUACUGCCGUGCUUUUAUUUUGAAGGCUGUAGGUUCUAUCAUAACUAUCAACAUUUACCUGUCAAAAUAGCAGAAAAUAAGCAAAAACCUCUGGACUUAUUACUGCGGUGCGACCGUGUUAUUUUACUGCCGUGCUUUUAUUUUGAAGGCUGUAGGUUCUAUCAUAAAUAUCAACAUUUACCUGUCAAAAUAGCAGAAAAUAAGCAAAAAACCUCUGGACUUAUUAUUGCGGUGCGACCUUGUUAUUUUACUGCCGUGCUUUUAUUUUGAAGGCUGUAGGUUCUAUCAUAACUAUCAACAUUUACGUGUAAAAAUAGAAGAAAAUAAGCAAAAACCUCUGGUCUUAUUACUGCGGUGCAACCAUGUUAUUUUACUGCCAUACUUUUAUUUUGAAGGCUGUAGGUUCUAUCAUAACUAUCAACAUUUACCUGUCAAAAUAGCAGAAAAUAAGCAAAAACCUCUGGACUUAUUACUGCGGUGCAACCGUGUUAUUUUACUGCCGUGCUUUUAUUUUGAAGGCUGUAGGUUCCAUCAUAACUAUCAACAUUUACCUGUAAAAAUAACCGAAAAUAAGCAAAAAACUUUGGACUCUGGACUUAUUACUGCGGUGCAACCAUGUUAUUUUACUGCCGUGCUUUUAUUUUGAAGGCUGUAGGUUGUAUCAUAACUAUCAACAUUUACGUGUAAAAAUAGAAGAAAAUAAGCAAAAACCUCUGGUCUUAUUACUGCGGUGCAACCAUGUUAUUUUACUGCUGUGCUUUUAUUUUGAAGGCUGUAGGUUCUAUCAUAACUAUCAACAUUUACCUGUCAAAAUAGCAGAAAAUAAGCAAAAACCCUCUGGUCUUAUUACUGCGGUGCAACCAUGUUAUUUUACUGCCAUGCUUUUAUUUUGAAGGUUGUAGGUUCUAUCAUAACUAUCAACAUUUACCUGUAAAAAUAGCAGAAAAUAAGCAAAAACCUCUGGACUUAUUACUGCGGUGCUUUUAUUUUGAAGGUUGUAGGUUCUAUCAUAACUAUCAACAUUUACCUGUCAAAAUAGCAGAAAAUAAGCAAAAACCUCUGGACUUAUUAUUGCGGUGCGACCUUGUUAUUUUACUGCCGUGCUUUUAUUUUGAAGGCUGUAGGUUCCAUCAUAACUAUCAACAUUUACCUGUAAAAAUAACCGAAAAUAAGCAAAAAACUUUGGACUCUGGACUUAUUACUGCGGUGCAACCAUGUUAUUUUACUGCUGUGCUUUUAUUUUGAAGGCUGUAGGUUCUAUCAUAACUAUCAACAUUUACCUGUCAAAAUAGCAGAAAAUAAGCAAAAACCUCUGGACUUAUUACUGCGGUGCAACCUUGUUAUUUUACUGCCAUGCUUUUAUUUUGACGGCUGUAGGUUCUAUCAUAACUAUCAACAUUUACCUGUCAAAAUAGCAGAAAAUAAGCAAAAACCUCUGGACUUAUUAUUGCGGUGCAACCUUGUUAUUUUACUGCCGUGCUUUUAUUUUGAAGGCUGUAGGUUCCAUCAUAACUAUCAACAUUUACCUGUAAAAAUAACCGAAAAUAAGCAAAAAA